CUAACAAGGUAUUCCCCUAGUAACGGCGAGUGAAGUAGGGAAGAGCCCAAGAUUGAAAGCUGGCGUCUUCGGCGUCCGCAUUGUAAUCUCAAGAAGUGUUUUCCGUUUCGGACCAUGCCUAAGUCUCUUGGAAAAGAGCAUCAUAGAGGGUGAUAAUCCCGUACAUGGCAUGGAGCGCCCGAGACUUUGUGAUACGCUUUCUAAGAGUCGAGUUGUUUGGGAAUGCAGCUCAAAAUGGGUGGUAAAUGCCAUCUAAGGCUAAAUAUUGGGGAGAGACCGAUAGCGAACAAGUACAGUGAUGGAAAGAUGAAAAGAACUUUGAAAAGAGAGUUAAACAGUACGUGAAAUUGCCAAAAGGGAAGGGUAGGAGGUCAGAGAUGCGUUCUGGGAUUCAGCCUUGCUUUUGCUUGGUGUUUUUCCCAGAUUGCAGGCCAACGUCGGUUUUGGGCGCUGGAGAAGGGUGGAAGGAAUGUGGCACCUCUCGGGGUGUGUUAUAGCCUUCUACUGGAUACAGUGACCGAGACCGAGGACAGCAGCGUACUCGCAAGAGCGGGCCUUCGGGCACCUUUACGCUUAGGAAGUAGGCAUAAUGAGCCCUACUACCACUGCAG
rnacentral:rRNA from 1 species